GUUGAACGCUGGCGGCAGGCCUAACACAUGCAAGUCGAGCGGGGACUUCGGUCCUAGCGGCGAACGGGUGAGUAAUGCUUGGGAAUCUGCCCAGUAGUGGGGGAUAACGUCCCGAAAGGGACGCUAAUACCGCAUACGUCCUACGGGAGAAAGAGGGGGAUCUUCGGACCUCUCGCUAUUGGAUGAGCCCAAGUCGGAUUAGCUAGUUGGUAGGGUAAUGGCCUACCAAGGCGACGAUCCGUAGCUGGUCUGAGAGGAUGAUCCGCCACACUGGAACUGAGACACGGUCCAGACUCCUACGGGAGGCAGCAGUGGGGAAUAUUGGACAAUGGGCGAAAGCCUGAUCCAGCCAUGCCGCGUGUGUGAAGAAGGCCUUCGGGUUGUAAAGCACUUUAAGCGGGGAGGAAGGUUCGCGGCCUAAUACGUCGCGGAAUUGACGUUACCCGCAGAAUAAGCACCGGCUAACUCUGUG
rnacentral:rRNA from 1 species